GGGUUCAAUGCACAUUUGAACUUCGUCGUCACCUUACAAUACUCUCAUCAUCCAGGAGAUUUAUAUACCUUCUUUCUGUUUCUGGAAAUAAGUGCAACACUUCUUUUUCCAACUUUGUUAAUACAACAGAGGUAUGGAACGCAUUUUUAAAUAAAUAUGCCUGGACAUAAACUGUAAGUAUUGCAUAAUUCUUAAUAAUGACUAUAUUGAUCCUAUCUAUAUUCAGGGUAUGGAAGAUUUUGCUUAUGAUGCAUAUAAUCAAAAACUAGUUGACAAAGUGGCCAUUGCUUUAUGAUCAUUCUCCUUCCAAAAGGAGAGGUGUAUAUCAUACUAAUUUAUUUUUAAUUUUUUAUGCUGCCCACCCAAAAUGAAGUUUUUCUGAUGGUGGUUUAAAACAGAUAGUAGUCAGGCAUGCUGACACAGAUGUGCUGAAGAAGGCAUAUCUGUAUAUUCCAACAAGAGAUUUUUCUAGGGUCAAGGGCUCCAUAUACCAGAAAUUCUGAACUCUUAUUGCAGCAUCUGUUCUCCAGCUAUAUACAGCUGUGUGAGAUUUGCUAAUGCUGUUAAAAAAACUCCCUUUUCUUGGAAGCACAAGCCACAAUUAGUUUGUCUCACCGGGUAUGAGGUUGAGCUGAUCUUAAACUUAUUAAAAACAUUUCUGCCAACAAGCAGCACUUUAUUUUCAGUUUCAGAAGAAAGAAGCAUUUGGCUUUGUAGAAGAGUUUAUCUGCUCUCUUCUCUCUUGGUCACUGCAUUUUCUUGCUGCACUGUAGUCUGGCAUUUGCUAGCUACCUCUUCGAAAAUAAACUAUAUACAAAGCUUUCUCAUCCAGUAGCUGUUGGACGGUUGCAGCUAGUUUCAUUUUUCUUGGCAAGGGUGCAGAGCAAAGUUAACCAGAAAUUCUCUGGAAAGCAAUUUGGAAAGCUGCAACUCUUCGGCUUUUUGUUUGCUUUAAAAGGUUUUCUUUUAGGAUGAAGGCUGAUUUUGGAAAGCUAAGUUAGAUUGACCUGGCUAGUGUUUGGAUGAGAGACCUACAGUAAAUGUUAACUAUAAUGCUUUUCACGAAGAAUCUUGUGAGUUGUAAUUCAGAAAUGGGUGAAAGUUCCCUUCCAGAGUGUUUUUAGCUGCUUCUUGCAGUCCUGCAUUGUGGAAGUGCUAUUUAAAAGUCUAUAAUAUGAUUUUUUUUCCCCCUAUUGUAGGAAGAAAUAUCCUUCUGGGUUCAGCUCCAAGUGGGGAAAAAGACACUGGAAACAUGGAGACUGCUUGGAAAGAUGGUUUAAUGGUGGACAGGAUCAUAUGGUUUGAGUUCCUGAACAGAAAAGGGGUGCUGCACGAUCCUUUGGAAAUGAGCCUUGUGGCCUUUACUCGGGGAAGUUAGCUUCACUGAACUCAACAGGACCAACUUCCAGGGAAGACCAACCAGAUGUCUCUGGGCUAUUAUUGGAAGUUGCCGCAAUCAUGUUUAGUCUUCAAGGCUGAUAGACCUGCUCUCCAUGAAAUUCUUCAAUCACCCUUUAAAACUAUCCAAGUAAAUGGCCAAUGCCAUGU